CCAUGUAUUUGGCAAACUAGCUGAAAAGUUAGGACGCAAAGCUUCCGGUCUAAGGUGCAGGACUCACUGAGUGCUCAUUAAGAUAGCGGGGUUGCCACG
rnacentral:ncRNA from 1 species